rnacentral:rRNA from 1 species
GCAUAUCAUAGCGGAGGAAAAGAAACCAACAGGGAUUCCCCUAGUAACGGCGAGUGAAGCGGGAACAGCUCAAAUUUGAAAUCUGGCCCUCGGGUCCGAGUUGUAAUUUGUAGAGGAUGCUUUUGGUGCGGUGCCUUCCGAGUUCCCUGGAACGGGACGCCUUAGAGGGUGAGAGCCCCGUACGGUUGGACGCCUAGCCUCUGUAAAGCUCCUUCGACGAGUCGAGUAGUUUGGGAAUGCUGCUCUAAAUGGGAGGUAUAUUUCUUCUAAAGCUAAAUACUGGCCAGAGACCGAUAGCGCACAAGUAGAGUGAUCGAAAGAUGAAAAGCACUUUGAAAAGAGGGUUAAAUAGCACGUGAAAUUGUUGAAAGGGAAGCGUUUAUCACCAGACUUUUUCUGGGGGGAUCAUCCGGUGUUCUCACCGGUGCACUUCCCCCAGUUGAGGCCAGCAUCGGUUUUCGGAGGGGGAUAAAAGCUUCGGGAAUGUGGCUCCCUCGGGAGUGUUAUAGCCCGUUGCAUAAUACCCUUCUGGGGACCGAGGUUCGCGCAUCUGCAAGGAUGCUGGCAUAAUGGUGAUCAACGACCCGUCUUGAAACACGGACCAAGGAGUCGAACAUUUAUGCGAGUGUUUGGGUGUCAAACCCUCACGCGUAAUGAAAGUGAACGGAGGUGAGAGCCCUUACGGGUGCAUCAUCGACCGAUCCUGAUGUCUUCGGAUGGAUUUGAGUAAGAGCAUAACUGUUCGGACCCGAAAGAUGGUGAACUAUGCGUGGAUAGGGUGAAGCCAGGAGAAAUCCUGGUGGAGGCUCGCAGCGGUUCUGACGUGCAAAUCGAUCGUCAAAUCUGCGCAUGGGGGGCGAAAGACUAAUCGAACCAUCUAGUAGCUGGGUUACCGCCGAAG